GGGCCAGCUUUGGCAGCACAUAUACUAAAAUUGGAACAAUACAGAGACAAUUAGCACUGCCCUCGUGUAAGGAUGACAUGCAGAUCAGUGAAGAGUUCCAUAGUAUU
ensembl:snRNA U6 U6 spliceosomal RNA